AGGGGAGUUCCCUUCCAAGAACCCUAACUCACAAAAAUUGCCAAAAUCAAAGAGAAAUCAAGCCAAGAAUUUGGGGCUUUUAAUAAAAUCGUGAUCACCAAGCUUAGGGGAUCACAAGUUUGACGCGCAACAAGCUAGGUGGAAGCUUGAUGAGGAAGCGGGUCAAACGGAGCGCGUACGGAAAGAAAAGCGUGGCAUGGAUGCAAGGUACAUUUUGGAUGCCGAAAGACGAUCAAGCUCAACGAAGA